CCUACGGGAGGCAGCAGUGAGGAAUAAUGGUCAAUGGGCGCUAGCCUGAACCAGCGAAGUAGCGUGAAGGAUGACUGCCCUAUGGAUUGUACACUUCUUUUAUAUGGGAAUAAAGUGCAGUAUGUAUACUGCUUGACAUGUACAUUAUGAAUAAGGAUCGGCUAACUCCGUGCCAGCAGCCGCGGUAAUACGGAGGAUCCGAGCUUUACACGGAUUGAUUGGGUUUAAAGGGAGCGUAGGCUGGUUGUUAAGUCAGUUGUGAAAGUUUGCGGCUCAACCGUAAAAUUGUAGUUGAUACUGGCAUCCUUGAGUACAGUAGAGGGAGGCGGAAGUCGUGGUGUAGCGGUGAAAUGCGUAGAUAUCACGAAGAACUCUGAUUGCGAAGGCAGCCUGCUGGACUGUAACUGACGCUGAUGCUCGAAAGUGUGGGUAUCAAACAGGAUUAGAUACCCUUGUAGUC
rnacentral:rRNA from 1 species